rnacentral:rRNA from 1 species
AUUGAACGCUGGCGGCAUGCUUUACACAUGCAAGUCGAACGGUAACAGGGACUUCGGUCUGCUGACGAGUGGCGAACGGGUGAGUAAUGCAUCGGAACGUACCGAGUAAUGGGGGAUAACGCAUCGAAAGGUGUGCUAAUACCGCAUACGCCCUGAGGGGGAAAGCGGGGGAUCGAAAGACCUCGCGUUAUUCGAGCGGCCGAUGCCGGAUUAGCUAGUUGGUGGGGUAAAGGCUCACCAAGGCGACGAUCCGUAGCAGGUCUGAGAGGACGAUCAGCCACACUGGGACUGAGACACGGCCCAGACUCCUACGGGAGGCAGCAGUGGGGAAUUUUGGACAAUGGGCGCAAGCCUGAUCCAGCAAUGCCGCGUGCAGGAUGAAGGCCUUCGGUUGUAACUGCUUUGUACGGUAACGAAACGGUAGAGCUCUAAUACAGUUUGCUAAUGACGGUACCGUAAGAAUAAGACACCGGCUAACUACGUGCCAGCAGCCGACGG